GCCGGUUGUGGUGGCGUGUGCCUGUAAUCCCAGCAACUCAGGAGGCUGAGGCAGGAGGAUCGCAAGUUUGAGGCCAUUCUCAGCAAUUUAGUGAGAACUUGUCUCUA
rnacentral:sRNA from 1 species